rnacentral:piRNA from 1 species
UAGGAAAAGACUUUUCCUUGAAUGGGGAUG